rnacentral:rRNA from 1 species
UACGGAGGGGGCUAGCGUUGUUCGGAAUUACUGGGCGUAAAGCGCGCGUAGGCGGCUAUUUAAGUCAGUGGUGAAAGCCCGGAGCUCAACUCCGGAACUGCCAUUGAAACUGUUGAACUUGAGGACGAGAGAGGUGAGUGGAAUUCCCAGUGUAGAGGUGAAAUUCGUAGAUAUUGGGAAGAACACCAGUGGCGAAGGCGGCUCACUGGCUCGUUUCUGACGCUCAGGCGCGAUAGCGUGGGGAUCAAACAGG